UCUACGUGCGGCAGCAGUGGGGAAUAUUGGACAAUGGGCGAAAGCCUGAUCCAGCCAUGCCGCGUGUGUGAAGAAGGCCUUCGGGUUGUAAAGCACUUUCAGUGGGGAAGAAAGCCUUGGGGCUAAUACCCUCGAGGAAGGACAUCACCCACAGAAGAAGCACCGGCUAACUCCGUGCCAGCAGCCGCGGUAAUACGGAGGGUGCGAGCGUUAAUCGGAAUUACUGGGCGUAAAGCGCGCGUAGGCGGUCUGAUAAGCCGGUUGUGAAAGCCCCGGGCUCAACCUGGGAACGGCAUCCGGAACUGUCAGGCUAGAGUGCAGGAGAGGAAGGUAGAAUUCCCGGUGUAGCGGUGAAAUGCGUAGAGAUCGGGAGGAAUACCGGUGGCGAAGGCGGCCUUCUGGACUGACACUGACGCUGAGGUGCGAAAGCGUGGGUAGCAAACAGGAUUAGAUACCCUAGUAGUC
rnacentral:rRNA from 1 species